rnacentral:rRNA from 1 species
UAAACUAGGAUUAGAUACCCUACUAUAAAGAACGUAGCUUAAUUACCAGAAGAUAAUUAUAAAUUUAAAGAGUCUGGCGGUGUUUUAGUCUCUUCAGAGGAACCUGUUCUGUAAUUGAUAGUCCACAAUAAUUUUUACUUUAUUUAUUAGUUUGUAUAUCGUCGUUAAUUGAAAAUUUUAUAAGAAAAUUAAUUUUCUUUAUAUUUAAUUAAAUCUAAAUUCAGAUCAAGGCGCAGCUUAUAAUAAAGAAGAAAUGGGUUACAAUAAAUUUAUUUAUUACGGAUAUAAAAAAUAAAUUUUUUUUAGAAGGCGGAUUUGGAAGUAAUUAUAAAUAAUUUUUUAUUAUGACUAGGGCUCUAAAACAUGCACAUAUCGCCCGUCGCUCCUGUUAUAAAAUUGGAUAAGUCGUAACAAAGUAGAUUUAUUGGAAAAUGAAUCUUGAUUCAAUCCAGAGCUUGAUAAAGCAAUUUAUUUACAUUAAAAAGAUUAUUGAAAUACAAUAUGGUUUGAAAUUAUUUUAUUUAUUUAUUUAUUUUUAUUUAAACUAAUUAAUUUUUUUAUUAUUUUUUAGAACUAAUUUUUAUUAUUAUAGUUUAUUUUUACAGUGAUGGAUUAAUUUUUUAAUAUUUAAAAGAAAAUUAUUUAUUGUACCUUGUGUAUCAGGGUUUAUUAAAAAUAAUUUUAUGAUGAAAUUUUCUCGAAAUUUUAUGAGCUAAGGAUUUAUUUAUUUUAAUGUUUCAUAAUUAUUUAUAAUAAAUCUUUUGGAGUGAUAUGUUAGUCGUAUAAAAUUAUAUCUAGUUUCUUAAGAAAUAAAUUUAAUUUAUUAUAACGUAAAAUUUUUUUAUUAAGAAAUUUUAUUUUUUCGUUAUUGUAAUAAUCUAAGGGAUAAGCUUUGGAUUAAAUAAUCAUAAUUUUUUUUUAUUUUAAUAGCUUGUAGGAUUAGAAUUUUUUAUCAAUUAAAGUAAGUUAUAUUUUUCUAUUAUUUAUAAAAAAUUUUUUGUUGUUUGAUUUUUUUAUUAAGAUUAUUUAAUUAUUUAUUAAUUAAAUGUAAUAAUGAUAGAAUUAGUAUAAAACUAUGAAUAAUAUUAAUUUUAAUUUAAGGAAUUCGGCAAAUUAUUUUCUGCCUGUUUAUUAAAAACAUGUCCUUUAGAAUUAAUUUAAGGUCCGGCCUGCCCAAUGAUUUUUGAAUGGCCGCGGUAUUUUAACCGUGCUAAGGUAGCAUAGUCAUUAGUUUUUUAAUUGAAAGCUAGAAUGAAUGGUUAGACAAGAAAAUAUCUGUCUCUGAUUAAUAAUUAAAAUUUUAUAUUUGAGUUAAAAAGCUUAAAUUUUUUUAAGGGACGAGAAGACCCUAUAGAAUUUUACUUUUUAAUUUAUUAGAUUAUGAAGAUUUUCUUUUACUAUUAUUUUAACUAGUUUUGUUGGGGUGACAAAAAAAUUUAAAUAACUUUUUUUAAAUAAUAUCAUUGAUUUAUGAUUAUAUGAUCCAAUUAUUUUGAUUAUAAGACUAAAUUACCUUAGGGAUAACAGCGUAAUUAACUUGAAGAGCUCAUAUCGAUAAGUUAGAUUGCGACCUCGAUGUUGGAUUAAAAUAAACUUUUAGCGCAAAAGUUAUAAAGUUAAGUCUGUUCGACUUUUAAAAUUUUACAUGAUCUGAGUUAAAACCGGAGA